AGGGUCCUGUUCCCUGGGGAGGAGUUCAUGAGUGCAAUCACCCGUUGCUGGGUCGGCACCGGAAUUCGACGGACUCACUGCCCUGCCCCCGUUAAGGGUCCUGGGCUCCCGUCGGGUCGUGUUUUCUAGACCUUGCAUUAUGUUUGUUGCUCUCUUCUGAGUUUUCUCCAACUUGUUCAAAUCUUUGCCCAAAACUGAAGACAAGAAUCCAACUGAGACCUUAUCAGAUGAUGAAGAUUUUAAAUUAUGCAGCAGCAGGCAGAACAUACAUUCCAGCAUUGGACUGAAGGACAAAAGGGGCAAUAAAAUUUCAGCCAGUAGUCUAAAACACAUUGCAGUCUCUAGAGUUUACAGCAAAACAUGGUCCAAAUUCCCACAUAACGAAAG